rnacentral:rRNA from 1 species
GACGAACGCUGGCGGCGCGCCUAACACAUGCAAGUCGAACGAGCGAGAGAGAGCUUGCUUUCUCGAGCGAGUGGCGAACGGGUGAGUAACGCGUGAGGAACCUGCCUCAAAGAGGGGGACAACAGUUGGAAACGACUGCUAAUACCGCAUAAGCCCACAGGUCGGCAUCGACCAGAGGGAAAAGGAGCAAUCCGCUUUGAGAUGGCCUCGCGUCCGAUUAGCUAGUUGGUGAGGUAAUGGCCCACCAAGGCGACGAUCGGUAGCCGGACUGAGAGGUUGAACGGCCACAUUGGGACUGAGACACGGCCCAGACUCCUACGGGAGGCAGCAGUGGGGAAUAUUGCACAAUGGGGGAAACCCUGAUGCAGCGACGCCGCGUGGAGGAAGAAGGUCUUCGGGAUUGUAAACUCCUGUUGUUGAGGAGGAUAAUGACGGUACUCAACAAGGAAGUGACGGCUAACUACGUG